AUUGAACGCUGGCGGGAUGCUUUACACAUGCAAGUCGAACGGCAGCACGGACUUCGGUCUGUGGCGAGUGGCGAACGGGUGAGUAAUGUAUCGGAACGUGCCCAGUCGUGGGGGAUAACGUAGUGAAAAUUACGCUAAUACCGCAUACGAUCUAUGGAUGAAAGCGGGGGAUCGCAAGACCUCGCGCGAUUGGAGCGGCCGAUAUCAGAUUAGGUAGUUGGUGGGGUAAAGGCCCACCAAGCCAACGAUCUGUAGCUGGUCUGAGAGGACGACCAGCCACACUGGAACUGAGACACGGUCCAGACUCCUACGGGAGGCAGCAGUGGGGAAUUUUGGACAAUGGGCGAAAGCCUGAUCCAGCCAUUCCGCGUGCAGGAUGAAGGCCCUCGGGUUGUAAACUGCCUUUGUACAGAACGAAAAGUUUUCUACUAAUACUAGGAGCUCAUGACGGUACUGUAAGAAUAAGCACCGGCUAACUACGUGCCAGCCGCCGCCGUAA
rnacentral:rRNA from 1 species